AUCAAAUGGGAGAAGCCCAUGUGCUGUUCACUGAUGACAUACCAGGUGACUAGGAGUACCCCCCAAGAGUAGGCCAGCUGGGACCAAGCUACCCCUGCCCUGCCCUAGAUGCAGGAGGGCAACCAGACCAAGGCGUUCUGUGUCUCAUCUGUGUGCCUGACCCAAUUCUGUGCUUCUUGGAGAACUCAGCAGGUGUUACCCUGGGUUCUGAGGAGACUGAUUAUAGAGGUACCACCCAAAAUGCUCUGAGGAAGAUCUUUUAAAUAUGGGCAUAUGUACCAAACGCUUCCCAGCUCAGCAUUGUGCAAGCAGCAAGCUCUUCGAGAUCCUGGUUCUUUCUGCGCUGGUGGGGUUAAGUGAUAGUGACACAUCUUUGGAGGUCUUGAUACAGCACUGUGGAAAAACAAGUGAAGUGAAGAGGCCAAAUCCUGCCCUCUGCAUGUGUAUGUGUAUCUGGAGUCAUAUCAUGGAAGAGAAGGAGAUUACUUCUGGUAAACAGACGGUGCACAGCAGAAACCUGGUUCCCACAACUGAGAGGAAGCAGUUUCUUCGUGUUCAUUCUCCUGGGCAGUAAUUACAAUUUGUCAGGAAUGCAGUUUAUUUUGUAAUUCAACAUUUCCCCAUAGCACAAUUGUGUAACACCUAUACAAAUAUUUGUUCCUGUUAAACUCUUGGAAAAAAUAAAACAUUGCGGAGAUCAAAACAGUUGCAGCCUAAGGUACUUAUAGGAACAAAACCUUUUCUUCCCCUGUCCUUGAAUCUAGUCCAGCUUUCAUUAAAAUUGUCACUAUGAUUCCCGUUGACUUGUAGGAAUAAUUCCAGACCCUAAAUAUUUGUAGUUCCUGGCGGGUGCUAUAUUGACAGCCCUAAUCUCUUUAUAUAUUCAGGUGGCAUAGCAGAGGUAAAGCAGGACUGUCAUCAUUGCUUAAGUACAAAUCUUAAGGGACAACAGCUGGGCAUCAAAUGGACUUCAGUUCCUGUGCUUCUGCAAUCACUGUUUUUUCUGAUUACAGUGCUGUUAAAGGAACCAAAGUAUUUUUUUUCUGAUUAAUUUUGUACAGAAGCCACUUCUUGUAGCGUCAGGCUAGGAAAAUUAUCACCAUCUUGUACAUACUGUCAAACAACUGUAAGGUAAGAAGAGGUUAAGCUGACAAAUCCAGCAGCAGUGGUUAUUUCUUUCUGGGUCUCACUGAAGUCUUUAAAAGUAAGCAUUUAGACCAGAACAAAAGAUGUGAAAUAUGUUAAUUGCAACCCAGGGACCCUUUAGGCCAGACAGAGAGAUGAGGGGUCUUUGAGUAGCUUCUUUCUCUUUAAAUUUGGAAGGGGCUGAUCUUUGACAAGAAAUGUGACAGUUUUGGCUCAGAAGUGCUAUUAUUAGUUUUUAGGACCUUCUGAAAAGUAAUGAGGACAAAGUGUCCCAGGGAAAAAAAAGUGUUGUUUGUUUUUUAAGAAAAGCACAGAUAGGAUUUCAUGUGAUCAUUGGACAGUUGUAGUAUUAUGAAAAACAAACAAAAAAAAAAGUUAGAAAAUGGGAAAGUAGAGCAAGCAGCUGUGACUUUUUCCCCACUUUCUUUUUAAUUUCAUUUGGAGGGAAAAGAAGACCAGGGUAAGAAAUGCUGUAGGAAAUAUCGUUAUUGAAUAUUCAUGGCCUGCUGGUGAAAAAUGAGGUGGCUAUUAAAAAAUAUAUGCUGUUCUCAUAUGGAAAUUAGGUGAUCAUAUGUCUAUCCCCAUCAGGAAGCAAUGCAGUUGAAAUGACUGUCAAACUAUUUACACAGCGAUGGCUCUUAUUUAAGCUGCCACCACUACAGUACUCUCUGCAUUAUUACACUCUUCUGCCUGUCACAUGGUACCUAAACAAAACAGGUGGAAAUGCACACUCAGAAAAAAAAAAAGUCAAAAGACUGUGAGAUUUGGGUCCAUGUUUUGGAUGGACUGUAUGAAAUAUUUGAAAUGUCAUAUUUUUGUAAGUGAUAUUUCAAUGUAAUUUAGCUAGAAAAAAAAAUCAUGGCUUUAUUUUUCGCAGCACCUACUCAUCUGCACAAAGUUUUUAUUUUUUAAGAGUGGCUCCUCCUUUUUUUCCCCAUGUAGAAUGGGAAGUUGCUUUAGCUUUCCAGAUAAGUGAUAAAAAUGUUUUGUCUUUUUGUGGCCCACGCAUUCUGUAGUGUCUUCUGAGAGCCUGUAGCAAUCUGAUGUGCAUAGUUUUCAUGCUUUACGGAACACAGUACUGUCUUAACAUUUUUAUUUGUUUAUAUGUUGUUUCAUUUUAUUUUGUA